GCUGCCGGACCCUCGAAGGAUUGUGCCUGACUUCGGGCAGCCUCCUUUGGGAGGCCGUUUCCAUUCUUUUUCACCUCGGUCCCCAUCCCGGGACUCUGGGCCUCAGUUUUCUUAUCUGGAAAGAAGGGCGUGGAGUCGUCUCCCCGCCCACACGCCGCGGUGUUAGGGCAAACCGAGGGCGAGCUGCCCAGCAAAGGUGAGAGAGGAUGGAGACCUUCGGCUUGAGAGUGGAAAGGGCGCAUUCUGAACUUUAUCCCUUUGUUUUUGCCUCUGUCUUGUCAUAGAGGAGCGCUUUGUUUUUGGUCAUUUUCCUUGGGCCAUCAAGGCCUUCUCAUCCCGGAUUCUGGCCUCCUUCACGCCACCACCCGUACCGCAGCGUCUCCCACAGCGUAGCCAGAGGGCGCUUCUGCUUAAAACCCUUCACCAGUCUUCCCAUUGCCUCCGGAAUUAAACCCACAUUCCUCAGUGUCAAUCUAAAGGCCCUUCAGGAUCUGGACUCCACCUUCUUGCAACACUCUGAACUUCUUUGGAAGCUGGGAAGCCUUAAGCACUCGUUCUCUCCCAUGGGUCCCUCCACCCUGCACUCAGCUAAUGCCUCACACUCUUCAAGCCCCAGCCUAGACGCUGCCUCCUCAGUGAAGCCUUCCCAGAUGCCCAGCUCCAUAUGAGGUGUUGACCUGGCAUGCAGUCCCUGUGGCUCCUGUGUGGCCCCAUUUCUGCCCUCUGAAGCAGCAGUGUCCACGCACCAGAUGUUACAGAACCUCCCUACCUUGGCUGCCCAUCUCUGCAAAUAUGUGACCAGACUAGAGUGGUCAACCCCAGAUUUUGGAUGAUGAACAGAUGGGAGCAGUUAAUCUGAAAUUCCUCGGGGCAAGAUUUACUAAGUGUAUCUGUGUGGCCUGCAGGAGCUAAGAAAACUUUCUGAAGUGCCAUACCCAUGGAGUGCCAUGUCCUGGGGAGAAUCUAGCUUGGGCUGCAAGGUGAGCAAGCUAGUACUUUCUUCAGAGCACCAAGCAAAAUACUGCAGGGCGGAGCUGUCUUGGUCGCUGUGGUUCUUCCUCCUCUGGCCUGUCCCAUCUAUCUGGCAUGCUUUGCCCAGCAGUGUCUCCGAGAUGCUGUGGGACAAGAACACAGUGAGCCCAGCUGAGAAAGAUGCCCAGUUUGAUAGUUGUCCCCGGCCACUUGCUGAGUCCCCUCAGUCUCUCAGAUUGCUGGCCUCAACCCAGCUGUACAGCUCUCAGCCCCUCAGCUCAGCUCCUUGGAGGCUUCCAACCUCAGUCAUGACAGCCCCCUCAACCCUGUCUCUUGAAUCUUGAACUGAACCUGCCUCCAACUCAUGCCUGUCCCCAUCCAGCUCCUGAGAAGCCCCUGAUUUCUUACCCCAAGUCCCUGCACUUUGCCAAACCUCCGUGUUCCCUCCGGACCAUCCUCCAUCAAGUGGGGUCAGGGAAAGCCCUGCUACAACCCGUCAACUUGAUACUUUGGCAG